GACGUAGGGCGCGAGCGUUGUCCGGAUUUAUUGGGCGUAAAGAGCUCGUAGGCGGCUUGUCGCGUCGUCCGUGAAAACCCACAGCUCAACUGUGGGCUUGCGGUCGAUACGGGCAGGCUAGAGUUCGGUAGGGGAGACUGGAAUUCCUGGUGUAGCGGUGAAAUGCGCAGAUAUCAGGAAGAACACCCGUGGCGAAGGCGGCUCUCUGGGACGGUACUGACGCUGAGACGCGAAAGCGUGGGGAGCGAACAGG
rnacentral:rRNA from 1 species